AACGAACGCUGGCGGCAGGCCUAACACAUGCAAGUCGAGCGCACCUUCGGGUGAGCGGCGGACGGGUUAGUAACGCGUGGGAACAUACCCUUUUCUACGGAAUAGCCUCGGGAAACUGAGAGUAAUACCGUAUACGCCCUUCGGGGGAAAGAUUUAUCGGUGAAGGAUUGGCCCGCGUUUGAUUAGAUAGUUGGUGGGGUAAUGGCCUACCAAGUCUACGAUCAAUAGCUGGUUUGAGAGGAUGAUCAGCAACACUGGGACUGAGACACGGCCCAGACUCCUACGGGAGGCAGCAGUGGGGAAUCUUAGACAAUGGGCGCAAGCCUGAUCUAGCCAUGCCGCGUGAGUGAGGAAGGCCUUAGGGUCGUAAAGCUCUUUCGCCGA
rnacentral:rRNA from 1 species